GCACAUCCCUUUGGACCUUAGAGUCCUUUCGUGGUAUUGCCUGAAAUAAUUAAGUUUUUCUCUCUAUUAAAACAACAAUACAGAUUAAUAUCCCGCUCUGCUGUACUACUACUAAUACAUCUUAUUUUGAAGAUUGUCCUUGUGACCCCUUCUUGUAAGACUAAAUCAACCUUCUAUCGUUCAUACAAAUCGCCCACAGUCUAUAGGGAUAGUCACCUGUCAUUCAGCAAGCUUCC